rnacentral:rRNA from 1 species
AGAGUUUGAUCCUGGCUCAGAACGAACGCUGGCGGCAGGCCUAACACAUGCAAGUCGAGCGCUCCUCUUCGGAGGGGAGCGGCGAACGGGUGAGUAACGCGUGGGAACGUACCUUUCGGUUCGGGACAACCCUGGGAAACUGGGGCUAAUACCGGGAUACGCUCUACGGAGGAAAGAUUUUAUCGCCGAGAGAUCGGCCCGCGUUGGAUUAGCUAGUUGGUAGGGUAAAAGCCUACCAAGGCUACGAUCUUUAGCUGGUCUGAGAGGAUGAUCAGCCACAUCGGGACUGAGACACGGCCCGAACUCCUACGGGAGGCAGCAGUGGGGAAUAUUGGACAAUGGGGGCAACCCUGAUCCAGCAAUACCGCGUGUGUGAAGAAGGCCUGAGGGUUGUAAAGCACUUUCAAUUGUGAAGAAAAGCUAGUGGUUAAUAGCCAUUAGCCUUGACGUUAACUUUAGAAGAAGCACCGGCUAACUCCGUGCCAGCAGCCGCGGUAAUACGGAGGGUGCAAGCGUUAAUCGGAAUUACUGGGCGUAAAGCGUGCGUAGGCGGUUUAUUAAGUCAGAUGUGAAAGCCCCGGGCUUAACCUGGGAACUGCAUUUGAAACUGGUCAACUAGAGUAUGGUAGAGGAAAGUGGAAUUUCUGGUGUAGCGGUGAAAUGCGUAGAUAUCAGAAGGAACAUCAAUGGCGAAGGCAACUUUCUGGACCAAUACUGACGCUGAGGUACGAAAGCGUGGGUAGCAAACAGGAUUAGAUACCCUGGUAGUCCACGCCGUAAACGAUGAUAACUAGCCGUUGGGGGGAUUUACCCCUUAGUGGCGAAGCUAACGCGUUAAGUUAUCCGCCUGGGGAGUACGGCCGCAAGGUUAAAACUCAAAGGAAUUGACGGGGACCCGCACAAGCGGUGGAGCAUGUGGUUUAAUUCGAUGCAACGCGAAGAACCUUACCUGGUCUUGACAUCCUGAGAACUUUCUAGAAAUAGA